rnacentral:lncRNA from 1 species
UUAAGACAUUACUCUAUUGGAUAUAAGCAUAACUGAACGCUUAAAUAAUACUCGCACAAGUCUAGAAAAAUACUCACAGUCCAAACACAGUCCUGUAUGAAUUAAAUGAUCUAAGUAGUUAGGAAAUUUUUCUAAUUAUGUAGUCCUUAAUACAAUUACAAAUUAAACAAACUAAAUGCGUAUACUACUCAUCACAUGGUCGAAUACAGCUAUAUGCAUCCAAACGAGCAUAGAUCUGGAAAUAUGAUUUCAUUUCGUUGUUUCGACAGGAUAAGCUACAUUGAUAAUCCAGAAUGUGUACCUGGUAAUUUACUAAGCAAAUGAAAGGAGGGAGGAUCAGUAAUGAAGAGCAGUAACAAACACGGCACAGCAACAUGUUCAAGCAACACCAGUGAACUUUCAAUAGAAAACCAAUCACUCAAACUGAUGCAAUAUUCAGCAAGUAAAAAACCCAGGAAAAUACUAAACAGUAGUACUUGAAAACCAACUGAAGAUCCUAGCAACACCAAUGGAAUACCAGUUGUACCAGAAAACAACCUCAGUCAAAAUAGAAGAGAAACAAAUUAAAAGUAACAGUAGUUGCCUGCCUUUGAACACUUACGGAAACAAAACUUGCAAUUUCAAAUGAACUAGUAGGAAACACUAACACUGAUUUUUAGCAAAAUAAAAUAUGCUCUCCUAAUAUUGAAUUUCUGAUCUUAAAAUUCAGUUCUAAGCUCUCAAUUCCCAAUCUUUAAGAUUCAGUUACACUCUUAGUUCUAAGUUUCUGACCUCUAAAACUCUCCUCCUUUUCUGUUUUCGACCCCCUGUAUUUAUAGCCUAUUCCAGACCUUAAAAGGCACUAAGCCAGCUGCCUCAUUCAUUACUCCCUCAUGUACUUUUGCUUUUCAGUUCUUAGGAGCAUUAUCACUAAUUAAAGAAGCGAAUAAAACCAUGUUAUUCCCUGCAUUCCCCACUCAGAAUACUCAAACACUUAGCUUUUUGGUACCACCACUGGCCUUUCUUUCUUUAUUAAGUUACAGACGUAUGGGCAGCCUGUUAUUCUAUUCAAAAUCCCUUAAACCUGUGAAAGGGUGCCCAUGUGACUUCUGCUUUCUAACCUUAAGGGUGUACGUAUGAGCAGCCUGUUAUUCUAUUCAAAAUCUCUUAAACCUGUGAAAGGGUGCCCAUGUGACUUCUGCUUUCUAACCUUAAGGGUGUAUUAAUCAAUGUAUUAACUUAUUGGUCCACUAGUAUCACCAGACAGACCACUCACUAGACCACUUUCAAUUUCUCAGAUUUCAAAUUACCCUUGAAAAUCUAACUAGAGAUACAGCUAUAACCAACUUAAUCAAACUCAAUCUAAGAUGAAUGGACAGAAACCAGUGAGGAAAAACAUGCAUUUAAACUGAACUGGCAACCCACGGAACUUAGAGAUUGACAACAUCAGUUCAAUGUUAUUACUGACUAAGUAAAUGAACCGAUUUCUAAACUUAUGCACUCAGGCACACUUAUCAAUUUUAACAAUGUGAUGCAUUAAUUUCAUACGAACAGACUAACUUGGUUUGACCAUAGAAUCAAACAGAAACGAAGCAGGAGAAGAAGAAACAUGAAAAUUAAACAAAGAAAAGAGAGCUGAAAAAUACCGGAUAUUCAAAACUGACCAACACUGAAACUUCCUCGUCCCUUCGUUUUUUGCAGAAGCGGACCUUAAUCGUGUGCUUCCAAUAUGGAAACAUAUUACUAAGGUCGAAUUUAGUCCCAAAAGAUCCUCACAGUGCGUGUUUGGUCUUCCAGUCAAACUUAGGGCUCCGUUCAAUCAAUAUAAGAUUCGAAAACUUCCAGCUUGAUUCAAACAAAAGAUGGCGUUAAAUUAGGGAUGAGGGAGGUCAGGUGGAGCUGGGGUGUGAAUUUGGAACUGGUUGGGUAGGUUUAAGGUUUUGUUCGAAUCUUCGAUUGAAGAUUCGAAACAAACCGGGAUGGUUCGAUGUGAAAGGGUUAAGGAUUUGGAGAGGGGGGAUCAGGGUGGUUCAGGGGUGUAAGUUUGGCGGACAUCGGAGCCGGCGCCGCCGGUUUUUCAGGCGAAGGAAAUGGGGGCGGCGUUUAGUGUUCAGGGGUCGUUUGGUGUCUCUGAAGAGACGAAGGGGGAGUGUUUGGAAAUGAGACGGGUAAAGGGGAUUUGGAGGGGGGUUUAUUUGGAUAUAUAAUUGCUUAAUUAAUCUAGGCCGUUGGAUAAUGAGAUCCAACAGUUCAGAAUAAAAAGAAAUGAUGGGGCGGUCCAGUUUGGUAACGGGUGAGGGUCGGGAUUUGGAUUUGGGCCGCAUAAAUGCACACCUGGGUUUAGGAAGGUAAAAUUAAUUAAGAUGUGUCCUAUAGACACUAACGUAUUUGUUGUUUUGGAAAAGGCCUUGAAUUUCAUUAAGCGGCCAAUUUCGAAGUCUAUUCACUUAUUAUGUCUAUUUAGUCAAGGAGCCGCAAUUUGUAAUUUAUUUGGCAGUGCAUGCGUCAUUUUAUUUUAAAGGAUAACCUGAAGCGACUAAUUUUCUAUUUUCGUUGCAUUUCUAAAAAUAAGAGAAAGAGACCUAGGUAAUUAAUAUUGGGUUAAGAACUAUUAUAAUUGGGCCUUGAGCAUAACCCAUUUAAAAUCAGAACCCAAAUCGCUUUAGUAUAGACUCUCAGUCCCUUUUCGCAAAAAAUGAAACACAACUCUGAUUUAAACAAGACUAGACAUUUGCUGAAUUUUAAUUUUAAUUUUAAUUUUUUAUAAUGAGUACCUUAGACAAGAUUAAAUGCAAAGAUUAAAUUGAGUAAAAUGCCCAUGAGAUAAACUAAAGUAUAUGAACUACCCUUUUUAUCACACAAUUUAACUAUCUGUAUCCUUCAUAUUCCCUAAUACACUUUCCUAGUAUUUCCAACAAACUAAAUUAUUACUGAAAUAGCUUCGCAAUAUAACUUAAUUGCAACUAUAUUAUUACUAGAAUAACUUCAUGAAGCAAUCGAAAUGACUACAGGAGUUAGCCUUAGCUAGUUAAGACAUUACUCUAUUGGACAUAAGCAUAACUGAACGCUUAACUAAUACUCAUACAAGUCUAGAAAAAUACUCAUAGUCAAAACACAGUCCCGUAUGAAUUAACUGAUCUAAGCAGUUCAGAAAUUAAUCUAAUUAUGUAGUCCAUAAUAAAAUUACAUAUUAAACAAACUAAAUGCGUAUACUACUCAUCACAUGGUCGAAUACAGCUAUAUGCAUCCAAACGAGCAUAGAUCUGGAAAUAUGAUUUCAUUUCGUUGUUUCGACAGGAUAAGCUACAUUGAUAAUCCAGAAUGUGUACCUGGUAAUUUACUAAGCAAAUGAAAGGAGGGAGGAUCAGUAAUGAAGAGCAGUAACAAACACGGCACAGCAACAUGUUCAAGCAACACCAGUGAACAACACUCUGGGAAACAAAACUUGGAAUUUCAAAUAAACCAGUAGGAAACACUAACACUGAUUUUUAGCAAAAUAGACUAUACUCUCAUAAUAUUGAACUUCUGAUCUUAAAAUUCAGUUCUAAGCUCUUAAUUUCUAAUCUUUUAAAUUCAGUCCCACUCUUAGUUCUAAGUUUCUGACCUCUAAAACUCUUCUCCUUUUCUAUUUUCGACCCCCUGUAUUUAUAGCCCAUUCCAUCCCUUAAAAGGCACUAAGCCAGCUGCCUCAUUCAUUACUCCCUCAUGUAAUUUUGCUUUUCAGAUCUUAGGAGCAUUAUCACUAAUUAAAGAAGUGAAUAAACCCAUGUUAUUCCCUGCAUUCCCCACUCAUAAUAAUCAAACACUUAGCUUUUUGGUACCACCACUGGCCUUUCUUUCUUUAUUAAGUUACUAAGGUAUGGGCAGCCUAUUAUUCUAUUCAAAAUCCCUUAAACCUGUGAAAGGGUGCCCCUGUGACUUCUACUUUCUGACCCUAAGGGUGUAUUAAUCAAUGUAUUAACUUAUUGGUCCACUAGUAUCACCUGACAGACCACUCACUAGACCACUUUCAAUUUCUCAGAUUUCAAAUUACCCUAGAACAUCUCACUAGAGAUGCAGCUAUAACCAACUUAAUCAAACUCAAAUCAGAUACUGAGAUGAAUGGACUGAAAUCAGUGAGGUAUAACAUGCAUUUAAACUGAACUGGAAACCCACAGAACUUAAAGAUUGACAACUUCAGUUCAAUGUUAUUAUUGACGAAGUAAAUGAACUGAUUUCUAAACUUAAGCAUUCAGGCAGACUUAUCAAUUUUAACAUUUUGAUGCAUUAAUUUCAUACGAAUAUACUAACUUAGUUUGAUCACAGAAUCAAAUAGAAACGAAGCAGGUGAAGAAGAAACAUGAAAAUUAAACAAAGAAAAGAGAGUUGAAAAUACCGGAUAUUCAAAACUGACCAACAUUGAAAUUCCUCGUCCCUUCGUUGUGGGCAGAAGCAGACCUUAAUCGUGUGCUUCCAUUGUUGAAACAUAUGACUAAUGUGGAAUUCAGUCCCAAAAGAUCCUCACGGUGCGUGUUUGGUCUUCGAGUCAAAAUUAGGGCUCCAUUUAAUCAAUCUAAGAUUCAAAAAGUUCCAGCUUGAUUCAAACAAAAGAUGGCGUUAAAUUAGGGAUAAGGGAGGUCAGGUGGAGCUGGGGUGUGAAUUUGGAACUGGUUAGGUAGGUAUAAGGUUUCGUUCGAAUCGUUGACUGAAGAUUCGAAACAAACCGGGAUGAUUCGAGGUGAAAGGGGUAAGGAUUUGGAGAGUGGGGAUCAGGGCGAUUAAAGGGUGUAAGUUUGGCAGACAUCAGAGCCGGCACCGCCGGGUUUUCAGGCGAAGGAAAUGGGAGCGGCGUUUAGGGUUCAGGGGUCGUUUGGUUUGUCUCUGAAGAGACGAAGGGGGAGUGUUUAGAAAUGAGACGGGUAAAGGGGAUUUGGGGGCGGGGUUAUUUGGAUAUAAAAU